GGCAGCUCCAGUUCGGCAGGAAUCAGCAACAUCUUGAACAGGGCUGUAUGCAUUGCUAGUGAAGUACUCAGUUACAAAUCCAAUAAUCAGCCCAGCCCAGAGACCAACAGCAACACACAAGAAAAGUUGCCAGUUCUUAACAACUUUCUGAGUCCCGAAAUUGAAGAUGGUGAAGGAAGAUGGUAGAGCAAUCCAACUAACAAUGGCAAUUCCAACAGUCAUAAGAACA
rnacentral:misc_RNA from 1 species